GCCAAGUACGUAGUUGUAUAUCCUGGUUGUGAGUCCUUCUAGUUCUUCUAUGUGGGAUGCCACCACAGCAUGGCUUGAUGAACCACAUGUAGGUCCAUGCCUAGGAUCCGAACCUGGGAACCCCAGGCUGCUGAAGUGGAGCUCAUGAUGUUAACCACUACACCACCAGGCGGGCCCCAAGCCUUAUCCUUUACCACAUAUGGGAGGCCGCUGAAUUUAAAUCAAGUGGAUGUCCUAGAGCUCAAAUUCCAUCAUUCAGGACCAAAUACAACUUCUCUGAAGAAUCUUGAAUACAGAGAGAUGAAUGAGCAGCCCCUGAUUAUCAGGAAGUUCCUGUUUUCUUCAAUGUCAAAUAGCAGUGAAAAUAAAAAAUCUCCCACUUCCAGUUCUAGGAGAAUAUUAGGCUGCACAGAUCCAGAGACUAACUUCUGGAGUUCCAGGGAAGUGCUGAACCAGAUGUCCUGGUGCAUGAGGCCUGGUUUCUCUACGACAGACGGAGAGGAGAGAGAGAAUGGAGUAGAAAAAACCUGAAGAGAUAAUGACCAAAAAUUUCCUCAAUUUGAUGAAAAACGUCAAUUUAAAGUUUC
rnacentral:lncRNA from 1 species